AUACGUAGGUCCCGAACGUUGCGCGAAAUUACUGGGCGUAAAGGUUCCGUAGGCGGUCUGGUAAGUGGAAGGUGAAAGCCUGGGGCUCGACUCCAGAAUUGCCUUCCAAACUGCCGGACUUGAGGCAGGGAGAGGUCGGCGGAAUUCCCGAUGUAGUGGUGAAAUGCGUAGAUAUCGGGAGGAACACCAGUGGCGAAGGCGGCCGACUGGAACUGUCCUGACGCUGAGGGACGAAAGCCAGGGGAGCGAACCGGAUUAGAAACCCCAGUAGUCC
rnacentral:rRNA from 1 species